rnacentral:misc_RNA from 1 species
UCUCCGUUGGUGAACCAGCGGAGGGAUCAUUACCGAGUUUACAACUCCCAAACCCCUGUGAACAUACCAUUUGUUGCCUCGGCGGUGCCUGCUUCGGCAGCCAGCCAGAGGACCCAAACCCUUGGUUUUAUACAGUAUCUUCUGAGUAAAUGAUUAAAUAAAUCAAGACUUUCAACAACGGAUCUCUUGGUUCUG